rnacentral:rRNA from 1 species
CACGCCGUAAACGAUGGGCACUAGGUGUAGGAGGUAUCGACCCCUUCUGUGCCGCAGCUAACGCAUUAAGUGCCCCGCCUGGGGAGUACGGCCGCAAGGUUGAAACUCAAAGGAAUUGACGGGGGCCCGCACAAGUGGUGGAGCAUGUGGUUUAAUUCGACGCUACGCGAAGAACCUUACCUGGGUUUGACAUCCACUGGAAGGCGCUGGAAACAGUGUCCGCCCUUCGGGGCUGGUGGACAGGUGC